AUAUGGCAAUUCAACAAAAAUGCUCUCCUCAGUUUUUGAGUACACAUAUACACUCCCUGGAAGAACUAUUUCUGACUGCUAUUUUAGCCUCAACACAUUACUGUCACUAGACAUGUUUGGGACAAGCUUUAAUCUCUGAAGAAGCAAGACCGAAACUCUGAUUAAUAUCAUCAGGCAUCAAUCUAUUUCAAUGAACUUAAAAAAAAAGUAUUUUCAUAUUUUGUAUACAAGCCAAGGGGCAUCCAUUGCAGACAAGCAUGGGAGGACUUCCCAAGUGCAUGGGAAGGUUCUGGGGGAGAGUUACCAGGAACAAGAUCCAUGCAGGAGCAAGAAAAAUCCAUUACUUUCUGUUUGACUGUUAUUUGAUUGUACUUUUCUGUUGAUGCAUUAAAAUAUCCCUCAGUGAGAUCCUCAGGCUAUGCAAAAUCCUCCCAACUCUGCCUGACCAGUUUUGCAGUUUUCUGGGUGAUUUAUACUUGGUCUAGAGCUUUACUAGCUUGCAUGGAAAAGAAAGGAAGACAGUUAUAUGAGGAGGGCUGAGGAAACACUUUUAAUAGUGAAGAUAAUAGAAGAACAAUGGGAUCUCCCACUACAAAGAACAAAGCCAAAGUGGCCAUGGACCAUGCCAAAAUGGAAAGCUCCUUUUCUAAUGAUAGCUAAAGCUUCCUGACAAACACAGUAUAAGUGGGUUCAGUUUGUAACUAGACAACAGAUGUGUCCCGUAUCACUCUUGUUAUUGGGGGCUUUUUCUUCAUUUUUUUUUUUUUUAAUACAGUGAUGUAUAAAUCAAGUCAAUUAAAGCAAAUACCAUACACACUCUCACAUCAUGGCAGCACCAGAAGACUAUUUUCCAAUUUAAGCAGAGAAAAACAAACAUUCCUUGCUAGAGGCAGCUGUGUAUAGUCAUCACAAACUACAUUUCUUCCUUGAAAGUGGAGGGAUCUCAGUUUAUGAGUUCCAGAAUCCCAUGUGAUGUCUGAUUCCAAGUUUUGAGGUACAAGAGAAAACCAUUUUGAAAUUACAAUAUUGUCAA
rnacentral:lncRNA from 1 species